rnacentral:rRNA from 1 species
AUCGAUGAAGAACGCAGCGAAAUGCGAUAAGUAAUGUGAAUUGCAGAAUUCAGUGAAUCAUCGAAUCUUUGAACGUACCUUGCACCCUUUGGUAUUCCGAAGGGUACACCCGUUUGAGUGUCAUUGUAAUCUCACCCCAGAAAUUCUUUUUUGGGUGUGGACUUGGACGCUGCCGACGCUCGGCUCGUCUCGAAUGGCUCAGUGUAUCCCCGCUCGUCGGCGUAACAGUGUGAUAAUAUCUUCACUAGAGCCUCGAGCGCUAUGCUACCAACCGUCCUCGGACAAUCUCUGACAAUUUGACCUCAAAUCGGGUGGGAUUACCCGCUGAACUUAAGCAUAUCAAUAAGCGGAGGAAAAGAAACUAACAAGGAUUCCCCUAGUAACGGCGAGUGAAGAGGGAAAAGCUCAAAUUUUGAAUCCGACGUCUUUGGCGUCCGAGUUGUAAUCUAGAGAAGUGUUUUCCGUACCGGACCGUGCACAAGUUCCCUGGAACGGGGCGUCAUAGAGGGUGAGAAUCCCGUAUAUGGCACGGACUCCCGGUGCUCUGCGAUACACUCUCAACGAGUCGAGUUGUUUGGGAAUGCAGCUCAAAAUGGGUGGUAAAUUCCAUCUAAAGCUAAAUAUAGGCGAGAGACCGAUAGCGAACAAGUACCGUGAGGGAAAGAUGAAAAGCACUUUGGAAAGAGAGUGAAACAGUACGUGAAAUUGUUGAAAGGGAAGCGUUUGAAGUCAGUCGCGUCUGUCGGGAUUCAGCCUGGCUUCUGCCUGGUGUACUUCCCGUCCGACGGGUCAGCAUCAGUUUUGACCGAGAGAGAAAGGCUUGGGGAAUGUGGCCGUCUUCGGACGGUGUUAUAGACCCUUGUCGUAUGUCUCGGUUGGGACUGAGGACUGCAGCGCGCCUUACGGCCGGGGUUCGCCCUCGGUACGCGCUUAGGAUGCUGGCAUAAUGGCUUUAAGCGACCCGUCUUGAAACACGG